rnacentral:lncRNA from 7 species
AUUUCAUCAACUGGACAUGAGGUCUGGAAAGGCACUUUCCUUCUGCUUCAAAUGCCGCCUUACAUUGGUUCGCAGCCACUUAAUCGAUUUCAAAGAGUUUGGUUCUAAAGCUGAACAAGCAGAUGUUUCACUCUCAAACUACUGGAAUGCACAUCAAGAAGAUCAGUGUUCAUUGAGAAGCUCCAGGGAGGUUCCUACCAGCGCAGUGAUGUCUCUGGCUGCACCAUGGGACAGCAGGCCUUGCUCAGAGGGCCUCCGCCAUGUUCCUCCCACCAGCACUUCUUUCCUGACAACCCAAGCUCCAUUUAAUCAACAAAAACACUUCUUUUCCUUAAACUGGUAUCAGGCCAUGUUCUCUACUGCUAAGUAAACUUGUUUGUUUUCUUUUGCUUCUGUAGUUACUCACACCUGAAAAUAUGAUUACAAUAAACCUAAGUUCAGGUGGAAAAUAAAGAGAGGCCCACUCAGCAUUCCCAUUCUGUCAGGGCACACAGCAACAACAGCACCAAGUGGGAGUGGGACUCCAGCCCUCAGUACCUCUCUGUCUGGUGUAAGAGAAGGCCAAGCGACAAAUGCAGCCAAUAGAGAGGAGAGAAGGAAGAGGUCUGAGAGGAAAAACCACCAUGUGUAUAUCGUACUUGGUUUUGGUCCAAAUGGAGCCAUGUGUAUGGACGUAAAACAAGAAGACUGGAAAAACAUGUCGCAGAAUUAUGCUGUGAAGAAUCUGUACAGAAUCAAUCCUAAUUCACUCCUUAAGCACAGUAACUCCAAGAGGACCAAGUCUGGCUUGAGAUACUUACAGAAACAUAUUCAUAUGUGAAUGAAGAAAUGUAAAAUACUCUCAAAGGUGUCCUAACAGGCACUCUUUACUCUAAAUUUGCUAACCAGUUUCUAAAUUGAGUAAAUAUACAGUUAACCAAUGAAUAUGGUUGCAUGUUCCUACAAUGUUUCAUUAAAACUUCUAUCUUUUU